rnacentral:rRNA from 1 species
GACGUAGGGACCAAGCGUUGUUCGGAUUUACUGGGCGUAAAGGGCGCGUAGGCGGCUUAACAAGUCACUUGUGAAAUCUCCGGGCUUAACUCGGAACGGCCAAGUGAAACUGUCAAGCUAGAGUGCAGAAGGGGCAACCGGAAUUCUUGGUGUAGCGGUGAAAUGCGUAGAUAUCAAGAGGAACACCUGAGGUGAAGACGGGUUGCUGGGCUGACACUGACGCUGAGGCGCGAAAGCUGGGGGAGCAAACGGG